UAUCGUGACAUUUUUUUCUUGAUCAUUGUCUUUUUCAGGAUCUUAUCACGAGGAAGAGGAUUGACAGUGGUAGAGAGGAACAUGGUCUCUACAUUCUGAAUCAGACAAACAAGCUGGCUCAUUCAUCUAUUCAGUUAUUAUCCACCAAAGACGACGUUUAGCUGUGGCACCGUCGCUUAGGACAUCCUUCAUUUUUAUUACUUAAGCAUUUAUUUCCUUCUGUUUUUGAGAAAAAUAAUGUGUCGAAUUUUCAAUAUGAGUCUUGUCAACUUAGAAAGCAACACAUAGCCUCUUUUGCUCCUUCUAUUAAUAAAAGUUUAGUUCCAUUUUUUUGAUUCAUUCUGAUGUCUAGGGUCCUUCCUAUUUUGUGUCUUUAACGGGUCAAAAAUGGUUUGUUACCUUCAUAGAUGAUUGUUCCAGGGCCACUUAGGUCUAUUUGAUGAAAGAUAUAAGUGAGGUAUUUUCUGUGUUUCAAAACUUUCAUAAAAUGAUUUGUACUCAGCUUGGGAUGGUUGUCAAAAUUUUACGUUCUGAUAAUGGAGGGGAAUAUAUUGACUCUGGUCUUGUCACUUACGUCGCCACUCAUGGCAUUAUUCACCAGACUUCAUGCACUAAUACCCCUCAACAAAAUGGUAUUGCCGAACGCAAAAAUCGCCAUCUCCUUGAUGUCGCCCGUUGUCUAUCCUUUGAGAUGCGGGUUCCUUGAGCCUAUUGGGGGGAAGUGGUUCUCACUACUGCUUAUUUGAUUAAUCGCCUUCCUACCCAAGUCCUUCAAAAACAAACACCUCUUCAAGUUUUGUUUGGGUCUACUUCUUCCGGGUUCUUCAUUUCUCUUAAGACCUUUGGCUAUGUUUGCUUUGUCCAUAAUCAUUCACCUACUUGUGGUAAAUUCGAUCAUAGGUCUCUUAAGUGUGUUUUUUUUGGGUUAUUCUGCCACCCAAAAGGGUUAUGAGUGUUAUCAUUCUCCCACUCGCAAAUGGCUUAUCUCUAUGGAUGUCACUUUCUUUGAGUCUCAGCCUUACUUUUCGACUUUCUUAGCAUCACAGUCAUCUCUCCAGGGGAGCCUUGGUGUGAAGAGAUUCCUGCUCCACUUCCGCUAGUGGUUGCACCGAUAAAGGAUGAUGAGCUAGCAAUUGUUGAAGAAAGGAAGCAAGCAAAGUUUAUAUUAGGGACAAUGACAAACAGCAAGUCACCUGGAUACAAGAGACUACUUUCUUUCUCUAUUGCCAACUUCUUCUCCGAAUGGGUGUCCAGAGUCACCCCCUCUCCUGAGAGUCCAGUCGGAGAUGAAACUUUUUGGAGGAUCUGACAGAGUAGCCCUUAAACUACGCUUUGGAAAGAAAAUCGUGGAACUUGAGGAUGAGAAAAGAAUUGUUCAGAACCUCUCUCAGCACAAACCUCACCACCGCAAAUCAACAAACAUCACGGUGAUCAAACCUCACAACCAUGCAUCCUCAACACCAUUGGUCCCCGUACGCCGCAAAUUAGCACCGCCACCGCCGCUAACAGCACUACAUGCUUUAAGCUUGAAGAAUAUCAUACUGCCAGGGCAGCACUAGAAAAGGGUACUUAUUUAGCACAAAAUGAUUCAUGAUUCACCAAACUGAUUACAGAGUGUGAUGAAAGUAUUGCAGGUAUGUACAUGCCUAUACCUAUAUGUCGUGUUACUUCUAUGUUGAAUAACAGAACAAGCCUUUAACGGUUUUUAUAGGUCAGUUUUAUUUUUUUACUGAAUUAUUUUUCUGAUAUGCAUUAGAAGUGUAGUGUUUUUUUUUUUUCAUCUGUUGUUUCAAUUGCUGCCUUUAUCAUUAGACUGCUGUUAAUGCUAGCAGCUGCUGCCAUUGUGAUGGCAGUACUAUCUUUGCUUCUAUUGUUGUCGGCACCAAUGCCGUCAUUUAUUUUCCUCGAUUGCUGUUAAUUUGUUGUAACCAAUAUUAGUCUGUUAGAUUGUUUUUUUAUGCUGGAUGGAGUAUUCUGCUUCUGGAGAUACUGUCCCAGCUCUAUACAGUUUUUUGACAAUGAUUACUUAAACAAGCAUUCAUACUAUCAGAAGCCAAAAGAAGUGGUAGUGACAAUAUUUGCAAAGGGUGUACCAGAAAAAAAUGUUUCUAUCAACUUCGGAGAACAGAUACGAAGUGUUACUAUUGAUGUCCCUGGUGGAAAAAAGUUUCAUUUUCAGCCAAGACUAUUUGGAAAGUUUCAAUUCAAUAAUUAAGAAGGAUUGGAACUUGUGGAUUGAUGCUGGAAAGAAUGUGGUGAGGAGAGAAAAUAUAGAGGCUGCUGUGAAGAGGGUGAUGGACGGCGGUGAUGAUGACAGAGAAGGCUAAAGUGCUGGGAGAGAUGGCAUUGAAAGCUGUUAAAGAAGGUGGAUCAUCUCAUAGAAAUUUGACGGUGUUGAUUGAAGAGCUUGAGCAACUAAGAGAUCAAAGGGCUAAGGAUGAUUGAGGGUUAUUACAUUGUCUAUGUCUCUAUUCUUCACUGCUCAUUACAUUUUGUUGAAAUAAGGCAUUUGAAUGUCUUUUAAUAGUUAAAUUUUGUAUAUGGUUGGAAAUUGAAUGUUACAGGUUGUGGAGAAAUAUUUUUAUUAAAUGGUUGAUAAUUGAAUGAAUGAAUGAAUGAA